AUUGAACGCUGGCGGCAGGCCUAACACAUGCAAGUCGAGCGGAUGAAGGGAGCUUGCUCCUGGAUUCAGCGGCGGACGGGUGAGUAAUGCCUAGGAAUCUGCCUGGUAGUGGGGGAUAACGUCCGGAAACGGGCGCUAAUACCGCAUACGUCCUGAGGGAGAAAGUGGGGGAUCUUCGGACCUCACGCUAUCAGAUGAGCCUAGGUCGGAUUAGCUAGUUGGUGGGGUAAAGGCCUACCAAGGCGACGAUCCGUAACUGGUCUGAGAGGAUGAUCAGUCACACUGGAACUGAGACGCGGUCCAGACUCCUACGGGAGGCAGCAGUGGGGAAUACUGGACAAUGGGCGAAAGCCUGAUCCAGCCAUGCCGCGUGUGUGAAGAAGGUCUUCGGAUUGUAAAGCACUUUAAGUUGGGAGGAAGGGCAGUAAGUUAAUACCUUGCUGUUUUGACGUUACCAACAGAAUAAGCACCGGCUAACUUCGUG
rnacentral:rRNA from 1 species